rnacentral:misc_RNA from 1 species
CUUCUUUUUUUUUUUUUUAAAUUUUCCAUUGCUUGCUACAGUUGUUUCAUUUUUUAUUGUUUUAAACAUUGUUUAUGUAGCUUUAUAGCUUACCCUGGCAAUUUUGCUGAUUCACCUACCUUACUCUUCUAACUGGUGAUUCACUUUUAAUUAUUUUACUUGUGUUUUCUGUCCCUAUGUAAAUUCCAGUUACCUUUUUUUGCCUGUUUGCUUAAGGUUAAAGGGUACGUGGGAGAA